rnacentral:rRNA from 1 species
UACGGGGGGAGCAAACGUUGUUCGGAAUUACUGGGCGUAAAGGGCUUGUAGGUGGCCAACUAAGUCAGACGUGAAAUCCCACGGCUUAACCGGGGAACUGCGUCUGAUACUGGAUGGCUAGAGGUUGGGAGAGGGAUGCGGAAUUCCAGGUGUAGCGGUGAAAUGCGUAGAUAUCUGGAGGAACACCGGUGGCGAAGGCGGCGUCCUGGACCAACACUGACACUGAUGAGCGAAAGCCAGGGGAGCAAACGGG